rnacentral:rRNA from 1 species
AACGAACGCUGGCGGCAGGCCUAACACAUGCAAGUCGAGCGAGGACUUCGGUCCUAGCGGCGGACGGGUGAGUAACGCGUGGGAACGUGCCCUUUGCUUCGGAAUAGCCCUGGGAAACUGGGAGUAAUACCGGAUGAGCCCUUUGGGGGAAAGAUUUAUCGGCGAAGGAUCGGCCCGCGUUGGAUUAGGUAGUUGGUGGGGUAAUGGCCUACCAAGCCGACGAUCCAUAGCUGGUUUGAGAGGAUGAUCAGCCACACUGGGACUGAGACACGGCCCAGACUCCUACGGGAGGCAGCAGUGUGGAAUCUUAGACAAUGGGGGAAACCCUGAUCUAGCCAUGCCGCGUGAGCGAUGAAGGCCUUAGGGUUGUAAAGCUCUUUCAGCUGGGAAGAUAAUGACGGUACCAGCAGAAGAAGCCCCGGCUAACUCCGUG